UACUUAGCCACAGACACCUUAUCUGCUGA
rnacentral:piRNA from 1 species